rnacentral:rRNA from 1 species
CGUCAUCACUCCUAAAACCUAGGCUAGGUCUAAGGGUGUUUAAGCAAAGUGCUGGAGUACACGAGCGGCGGACGGGUGAGUAACGCGUAAGAAUGUACCCCAAAGUGAGGGAUAAGCACCAGAAAUGGUGUCUAAUACCGCAUAUGCUCUUCGGAGUAAAGCUACGGCGCUUUGGGAACAGCUUGCGUAUGAUUAGCUAGUUGGUAAGGUAAUGGCUUACCAAGGCAACGAUCAUUAGCGGGUCUGAGAGGAUGAUCCGCCACACUGGGACUGAGACACGGCCCAGACUCCUACGGGAGGCAGCAGUAGGGAAUUUUCCACAAUGGGGGCAACCCUGAUGGAGCAACACCGCGUGCAGGAUGAAGGCCCUAGGG